AAGUCGUAACAAGGUAACCGUAGGUGAACCUGCGGUUGGAUCAUUAAAAAACAGGGUUCAGAAAGAACCAUGAAAACCUGUGCAAAAGUGAUAGUUGGGUCAAGAGACCCAAUUUCUCAACUCUAAAUUUUAAUUGUUAUUAUUAUUAUUAUAAAUAUAAAAACAACUUUUGACAACGGAUCUCUUGGCUCUC
rnacentral:misc_RNA from 1 species